CGAGUGAAGCGGCAAAAGCUCAAAUUUGAAAUCUGGCACUUUCAGUGUCCGAGUUGUAAUUUGAAGAAGGUAUCUUUGGGUCUGGCUCUUGUCUAUGUUUCUUGGAACAGAACGUCACAGAGGGUGAGAAUCCCGUGCGAUGAGAUGUCCCAGACCUAUGUAAAGUUCCUUCGAAGAGUCGAGUUGUUUGGGAAUGCAGCUCUAAGUGGGUGGUAAAUUCCAUCUAAAGCUAAAUAUUGGCGAGAGACCGAUAGCGAACAAGUACAGUGAUGGAAAGAUGAAAAGAACUUUGAAAAGAGAGUGAAAAAGUACGUGAAAUUGUUGAAAGGGAAGGGCUUGAGAUCAGACUUGGUAUUUUGUAUGUUACUCUCUCGGGGGUGGCCUCUACAGUUUACCGGGCCAGCAUCAGUUUGGGCGGUAGGACAAUUGCAAAGAAAUGUGGCACUGCCUCGGUAGUGUGUUAUAGUCUUUGUCGAUACUGCCAGCCUAGACUGAGGACUGC
rnacentral:rRNA from 1 species